UAACAAAUGCCUCCAACGGGCAGCUGUGAGGAAGAGCAAAACUAACCCUGCCAGGUCCUAGAACCUUUCAGAUUCACCGCGGUGAAUUUGAUACAUAAGGCAAAGCGCCUUGAGAAAUGAAUCAUCUGUAUUUUCUCCUUAUAAUCACUCCCUCCCGGGGCAUGUAAUUAAUUUCCUGAGGUUUGAAAAAAA
rnacentral:lncRNA from 1 species